rnacentral:tRNA from 1 species
AUCUGGCUGGCUAAGUCAGUAGAGCAUGAGACUCUUAAUCUUGGGGUUGUGAGUUCAAGUCCCACACUGGGCA